ACAUUGGUGGUUCAGUGGUAGAAGUCUUGCCUUCUACGCAGGAGACCCAGGUUUGAUUCCUGGCCAAUGCA